AUAUUGGGCAAUGGGGGAAACCCUGACCCAGCAACGCCGCGUGAGGAAAGAAGGUUUNNNGAUCGNAAACUUCUGUCCUUGGUNAAGNGUUGUAGACGGUAGCCAAGGAGGAAGCCCCGGCUAACUACGUGCCAGCCGCCGCGGUAAUACGUAGGGGGCGAGCGUUGUCCGGAAUGAUUGGGCGUAAAGGGCGCGUAGGCGGUCUGUUAAGUCUGGAGUGAAAGUCCUGUUUUCAAGAUGGGAAUUGCUUUGGAUACUGAUGGGCUUGAGUGCAGGAGAGGUUAUCGGAAUUCCCGGUGUAGCGGUGAAAUGCGUAGAGAUCGGGAGGAACACCAGUGGCGAAGGCGGGUAACUGGACUGCAACUGACGCUGAGGCGCGAAAGUGUGGGGAGCAAAC
rnacentral:rRNA from 1 species